GUCAGAUUACAGCCCUUUAGGACUGAACAUCACAUUCCUAAUGUAGGCCUCCAUUUAAUAUUGUUGUAUAAUUUGUUCAAAUGAUUUAAUGUUCAGAUGAUCUUUUUUUUAAAAAAAAAAGUUGAAAUGUAAAAUAAUACACCGUAUAUAACUUAUAUUUAGAAAAAAUAAAAUAUUGAAAUACUGAUUUUUUUUUUCUCAAAAAAUUAGGUAAAUUUAAAAGUUUAUCCAAAAACAUUAAAUUGCAGCAUUAUGUACCAAAGAAAACAUAAGGAAUAAAUGUCAUCGUUUACAAACAAAUGCCAAAUGCAAACUAAUUUUAAAUAAUAAUCAGCUAAUAUAGAAUAUUAGAGGAUUUAGAUUAUCUUAAUAUCUGCAGGUAAAAUAUUUGACAGGAGAUAAACUGAGAUGUAAGCUUCCAAGUUAGGACUAAAACUCCAAACUUUCCCUUUUUUAUAGCAUUUUUUUUUUUUUUUGGAGCUUUUCCAAAGGUUUACAAAUUCUCACUGUCACAAUUAUACCAGGAAAAUGAUAAGAAAAGAAAAAAAAAUGGUGCAAACAUAUUUAAGUAUUGCCAUCUUGUCUGUGACACUUCUGCAAUAUGUUGAUAAUUUAAUAAUUGGUUUAUAAAUAUGCACAAAUUGUGAAUAAAG